AAACCACUCACAAUCAGUGCAGAGUGUGGCCACCUGGAGCUGAGCCGUGGAAGCCUUCUGCCCCCUCCCUCGCCCUGGGCCCCCGCCCCUCGCCUUCUGUCCAGCCCCUUGCCCUCCAUCCGCCCCCAACCACGCACAGCGUCUGAGUUUAAUUUGGAGAUGGUGAGAAUUGGCAGUAAAAUGGCCAAAGUUGGUCUUUGAAAGGCGUCCGAUCCUGGAUGAUAGGAAUGCUGUUUUGGUCAGAAAUCCAAAGAUAAAGGCCGGUGCUCCCUCUUUUCUUGUGGACGCCUGUGGCUUCCGACGUCGUAUUUGAGCACUUCGGAGACUCUAGUGGUAGCGCUCACUUCUCUGUGGCCCCGGGAGGCAGCAGCAAGGCCAUUCCCACAGCUUAGCAGGAGCAAAGGUCGUGACAGAGGGUUUUCUUGGAGAGACUCACGGCAGAAAUACAGCAGUGGACAUUCCCAUUUCCUGACGGAAUCUGCAGUGUGCACGCCAGAGGCCAGUGGUUAAGGAAAGAAUCCAUAUAUUACCACCUGCUCGGGUCCCAUCUCAUUGCUGUGAUGGUGUACCAUGAUUGACAGCAUCGCCCCGAAUAUAGAGAAUAUGAAGGAACCCUCCAGAGAAAAAGCUGCCCUAGAGAAAAGCUCUGAUAAUCGAGCUUCCCAGGUGGCUCAGAUGGUAAAGCGUCUGCCCACAACGCGGGAGACCCUGGUUCGAUUCUUGGCUCGGGAAGAUCCCCUGGAGAAGGAAAUGGCGAUCCACUCCAGCACUCUUGCCUGGAAAAUCCCAUGGAUGGAGGAGCCUGAUAGGCUACAGUCCAUGGGGUCGCAAACAGUCGGAUACGAGUGAGCGACUUCACUUUCACUUUCUUAUAGCUCCGAUUAGACAUGUUAGGCCCUUUCCCUCUUUCAUGUUGCUUCUUUCUGGUUUUGUCCAUUUGUUUUGUGCUGCAUUCUGAAUAAUUCCUUCUGUCUUCCCUUUGGUUUCCUCUGUGGCUGUCUAAUCUGAUAAUUUCUGUAUUUUUCAUUUUAUUUUUAAUUUUGUUUUUUAUUCUGUAUUUUUUUAAAGUUCUGUAUUUUUUAUUUAAACAAAUCUGUUAAUCUCUUUUUCAAGUUUGUUAGGUCAUUAACAAACUAUUCCAUAUGCAGGUAUUUUCAAGCAAUGUCAUUAAAGAAAACAUGCAUGUUUUAUAAUAGCUCAUAAUUUCCAUAUCUGAAACUUCUGGAUUCUUUUUCUGUCACUCUCAUUCAUGGUGUCCUGUUUCCUUGUGUGAUUUCUUUGUGCCUUAUUCAUUUUCCUUAAAACAUUAUUUUGGGAAUUCUUUUGAGGCUUAGGAUGAAAUUGGAUCCUUUCAGAAGAGAAUUUGCAUUGUCAGGCAUUUAGAGAAUUCUACCAGUCCAAUUUAAUCUAAAUUUACAGCUUGAAGUUUCUGUAACAUGUAGGGGUAUGAAUUUGGAUUGCAACUAGGUACAUGGGCUAGCUUGCAGUGACACCUUAGAGGUUUUUUUUUUUUUAAUCUCGGUCUGCCUAGAGCUAAAGCAGUUUUUCUUGCAGAGCCCUCUUGGUGUGGGGGUUGGUUUACUGCUAGUUCAUCCCGAAGUAGCUCUUUGCAGGGCCUGCUUUGUAGAGUGUCUUUGAUUUCUAUUCACAUGUCCUGUUAGGCCCUACAAACUGAAGCUCACAGUCCACAGGCUUGAUAGAUACCCAAGGACAAAGGUACCUUCAGGGCUUGACUCUCUAUUCUGGGUCUCUUUUUCACUUGGAUUUUGACCUAGUAAUUUCUUAUUGUCCUGUUAGUUCAAUACCAAAAAAAAAAAAAGUUACCUGUUCAUUUUAUUUUUAAUUUUGUUUUUUAUUCUGUAUUUUUUAAAGUUCUGUAUUUUUAUUUAAACAAAUCUGUUAAUCUCUUUUUCAAGUUUGUUAGGUCAUUAACAAACUAUUCCAUAUGCAGGUAUUUUCAAGCAAUGUCAUUAAAGAAAACAUGCAUGUUUUAUAAUAGCUCAUAAUUUCCAUAUCUGAAACUUCUGGAUUCUUUUUCUGUCACUCUCAUUCAUGGUGUCCUGUUUCCUUGUGUGAUUUCUUUGUGCCUUAUUCAUUUUCCUUAAAACAUUAUUUUGGGAAUUCUUUUGAGGCUUAGGAUGAAAUUGGAUCCUUUCAGAAGAGAAUUUGCAUUGUCAGGCAUUUAGAGAAUUCUACCAGUCCAAUUUAAUCUAAAUUUACAGCUUGAAGUUUCUGUAACAUGUAGGGGUAUGAAUUUGGAUUGCAACUAGGUACAUGGGCUAGCUUGCAGUGACACCUUAGAGGUUUUUUUUUUAAUCUCGGUCUGCCUAGAGCUAAAGCAGUUUUUCUUGCAGAGCCCUCUUGGUGUGGGGGUUGGUUUACUGCUAGUUCAUCCCGAAGUAGCUCUUUGCAGGGCCUGCUUUGUAGAGUGUCUUUGAUUUCUAUUCACAUGUCCUGUUAGGCCCUACAAACUGAAGCUCACAGUCCACAGGCUUGAUAGAUACCCAAGGACAAAGGUACCUUCAGGGCUUGACUCUCUAUUCUGGGUCUCUUUUUCACUUGGAUUUUGACCUAGUAAUUUCUUAUUGUCCUGUUAGUUCAAUACCAAAAAAAAAAAAAAAGUUACCUGUUCAUUUUUGUUGUUUUCAGUGGGCAGGUGGUCAGAAUUACCUAGUCUGUUUACAUUUCUGGAAACAGAAUUGUCUAGUUAUAGAAAUAUUGAGAGCAUUUGUCAAAAUUUUGGUGUCACUGGUUUACACAAAAGAUUCUGUUUCUCCAUCUGUAAAAAAGGCUUUGAAAUAGCCACCAAUUUUGAGAUCUGCAUCAAUGAAGUCUGUAGAACCAUUGAUAGUUGAAUUAAAAUUGUAUUUAAUUUCUCUGCCUUGUUCUAAGAACAAUUUACAGUGAUUAAAAUCUUAAAAUUUUUAAGAGUACCACCAGAAGCUCAAAUAAAGAAGGAAGGGCAUUUGGUAGAGUGCACCCUUAAUCUCUGCCCUGCAGUUACAGGUGGCCUCAUUUUAUUGCACUUGCUUGGUUUUUUUGUUGUUUUUACAAAUUAAAGGUUUGUGGCAACCCUGCAUGGUUGAUGAUGCUUAGAAAUUAUUAAAAAUAUUUUAAAAUUAAGGUAUGUACAUUGUCUUUUUAGACAUGCUAUUGCAUACUUAAUUGAUGAUAGUAUAGUGUGAACCUAACUUUUAUAGGCACUGGGAAAGCCAAAACUUCAUGUGACUCACUUGAUUGUGAUGUUUAUUUUGAGGUGGUCUAGGAUGGAACCUGCAGUGUCUUUGAGGUCUGCUUUUAACUAGGAGUCAGUGCAGAAUGUAUGCAGCAACCCCCUUUUAAGUUAUAUGUAGGUAGUUUUAUUUGCAAGUACGAGUUUUUCUUUGAAGAAGGUCCAUAGCUCUGAGUACAUUCUCAGGGGUCCAAGAUCCAAGGAAGGUUAUGAACUACUUAAGUACAUACAAAGAAAUCUUAGGCCAAUAAUUUAUCCUCUUUACAUGUUUUUUAACUUACUCUUUGAUGAAACAUUUUACUUCAUAAAUUUACUGUUAAGGAUUUUCCAAAAAAGACAUUAAUAUAUGACCAUACUUUGAAAAAGUUAUCCACCUUUAGAGCUGUUUUAGAAAUACACUCUGUACCUAUGGAAGCCAGAGGGGAGGGCACAUGGCAUUGGGUGAGAAUGGCAGAUGACAGAAUUUUUGCCUGAUUCUUGGGGGGCAUUAUCACCUAGCACCUAAAAUCAGUAAGCCAGAGGCAGCAUAAGCGAGGAAAGAAGUAGGGAAAUGGUGUGAUGUGUGCCAACACUGGAAAGGUAAGGAACCCAAGGUGUUACAACAUAGAAAAUGAAGCAGUUUCAAGGAAUGAAUUAUUAACAGUGGCAAAUACAGGAGAGAUCCCCUGAUAACUAAACAUAUUUGUUUGACAAUCAAGAGGCCUCUGUUUUCUUUAGUGAGGGAUGGGAACCAGAUGGGAGAUGAACAGGAAGUGAGGUGGUAAAUGGAGAGGAAAUGUACACAGAGUCUGGAUGUGAAUGGGAGAGGGAGACAGGUGCUGCUGUUAUUAAGGGAGUUCCUUUUUUUCUGAAAAGAUGGGAGAAACAGGAACAUGUUUAUUUAUUGGCCGAGGAGAAAGGAAUAGAAAGGGAGAGGUUGAAGAUAAACGUUGUUUUUUCCCCAGGCUCAGAGAUUUGGUAGAAAUCUUCAGGCUAUUCAGGAAGAUCUAAAUGAAUUAAACUUGUAGUCAGUUCCUCAGGACAGCACCUCAGUACAAUAGCUGAUCCACGUGGGUAGAAACUACAGAACAUCUUCUCGAGUUUAACUCAAAGAAGUAACAGCUCAGAAGAUAAUUACAGAAUUAAAAAAAAAGCAAGUCAGGAUAACGGUGGUGGUGGUAGUUUAGUCGCUAAAACGUGUCUGACUCUUGCGACCCCACGGACUGUAGCCUGCUAGGCUCCUCUGUCCAUGGGAUUCUCCAGGCAAGAAUACUGGAAUGGGUUGCCAUUUCCUUCUCCAGGGGAUCUUCCCAACCCAGGAAUCAAACCUGGGUCUCUUGCAUUGCAGAUUUCUUUACCGACUGAGCUAUGAGGGAAGCCCUCAGGAUAACAGUAUCUUUAAUUAUAUUUUGUUGUCAACU
ensembl:lncRNA